rnacentral:lncRNA from 1 species
UUUAGAUAAUUUCUAAAUCAAUCUUCCUUUUUAAAAGAAUUAAUUCUAACUUGACAAACUAGAAGAACUCAAGCCAGCAUCCUUAAUUAGAAUCAACUUGAUUAUUUCUUAUAGAUCUCUCUUUAUCACAAUCCUUAAUAUUAAUCAAUAAAUCCAUACAAAAUCUUGUCCCUUGUAUAAGUCAUUCAAAAUUUAACAUUA